rnacentral:tRNA from 1 species
AUAGAAUUAAGUUAUAUUAAACUAUUAGUUUUCAAAACUAAAAAAUAAUUUCUAUA